AUUUUUAAUGCAAAGUUAACGCAGUGUGUCAUUAUAUCAUUGUACAUAAAAAUAAAAAUAAAAAAAUAUAUAUAUAUUUUUCUUAAAACUUAAAUUCUUACUCGCGUGCCAAGCCCGCGAAACCGGGCAGCGGGCUUAUAUAAGCCAGGGUCUGUGCCCACCGCGCGCACAGCCUGACUCCACUUUGAGUGACAUCCCCAGCAGUGCGUUUUCCUGAGUGUCGAUUGCCGUCUUAUUGUUCAGCUACAUACACCACAACGGCUCUUUUAAGAGCCACAUCUUGAGAACGUCUUUGACUUUCUACAUACACCACAACGGCUCUUUUAAGAGCCACAUCUUGAGAACGUCUUUGACUUUGUAAGUAUAUAUUUUAAAUGACCA